UACGAGAGGCGCAAACGUUAUUCGGAAUUACUGGGCUUAAAGAGUUCGUAGGCGGCGCAGAAAGUAGGGUGUGAAAGCCCUCGGCUCAACCGAGGAAUUGCGCUCUAAACUACUGUGCUUGAGGGACCUAGAGGUGAGCGGAACUGAUGGUGGAGCGGUGAAAUGCGUUGAUAUCAUCAGGAACACCGGUGGCGAAGGCGGCAUCCUGGACCGAUACUGACGCUGAGGAGCGAAAGCCAGGGGAGCAAACGGG
rnacentral:rRNA from 1 species